rnacentral:rRNA from 1 species
GACAGAGGGUGCAAGCGUUGUUCGGAAUUACUGGGCGUAAAGCGUGUGUAGGCGGUCUGAUAAGUCGGGUGUGAAAGCCCCGGGCUCAACCCGGGAAGUGCACUCGAAACUGCGAGGCUAGAGUAUCGGAGAGGUUGGUGGAAUUCUCGGUGUAGAGGUGAAAUUCGUAGAUAUCGAGAGGAACACCGGUGGCGAAGGCGGCCAACUGGACGAAUACUGACGCUGAGACUCGAAAGCGUGGGGAGCAAACAGG